AUAUUGGUCAAUGGGGGAAACCCUGAACCAGCAACGCCGCGUGAGGGAUGACGGCCUUCGGGUUGUAAACCUCUGUCCUCUGUGAAGAAAAUGACGGUAGCAGAGGAGGAAGCUCCGGCUAACUACGUUCCAGCAGCCGCGGUAAUACGUAGGGAGCAAGCGUUGUCCGGAUUUACUGGGUGUAAAGGGAGCGCAGGCGGGAAGCCAAGUCAGCUGUGAAAACUACAGGCUUAACUUGUAGACUGCAGUUGAAACUGGUUUUCUUGAGUGAAGUAGAGGUUGGCGGAAUUCCGAGUGUAGCGGUGAAAUGCGUAGAUAUUCGGAGGAACACCGGUGGCGAAGGCGGCCAACUGGGCUUUAACUGACGCUGAGGCUCGAAAGUGUGGGGAGCAAACAG
rnacentral:rRNA from 1 species